UACUGCAUUUUUUCUUACACAUGUGUUUUUCUUUUUGAAAACUUUGCUUUGGUAGGCCUUYUAUAUGGGGCCUGCCAGAGAUUAAACUCAACCAAAUUUUAUUUAAUGUCAACCGAUUAUUUAAUAGUCAAAACUUUCAACAACGGAUCUCUUGGUUCUCGCAUCGAUGAAGAACGCAGCGAAAUGCGAUAAGUAAUAUGAAUUGCAGAUAUUCGUGAAUCAUCGAAUCUUUGAACGCACAUUGCGCCCUUUGGUAUUCCAAAGGGCAUGCCUGUUUGAGCGUCAUUUCUCCCUCAAACCCUCGGGUUUGGUGUUGAGCGAUACGCUGGGUUUGCUUGAAAGAAAGGCGGAGUAUAAACUAAUGGAUAGGUUUUUUCCACUCAUUGGUACAAACUCCAAAACUUCUUCCAAAUUCGACCUCAAAUCAGGUAGGACUACCCGCUGAACUUAAGCAUAUCAAUAAGGGAGG
rnacentral:rRNA from 1 species